ACCAUGACUCCACUGGUGCUGCUCUCUGUCUUCAUAGCCUUCAUUCAGGAUUCAAGAUGUCAAAUUUCUGUAACUCAACCAUCAGCACCAAAGUCAGUUUCUCCUGGAGGGAGCGUCACCUUUAGCUGUACCACUGGGAGUAGCGUGGGUAGAGCCAUGGCCUGGUACCAGCAGAGACCUGGAGAAACUCCUAAACUCCUGAUCCGCAGUGCAAGUACUCGCUACGGUGACACCCCGAGUCGCUUCACUGGCAGCGGGUCAGGAACUUCAUUCAGUUUGACUAUCAAUGGAGUUCAGCCUGAAGAUGCCGGCCGCUACUACUGUCAGCAGUAUAGCAACUUACCACACUGUGAUUGAGACUCGUACAAAAAC